rnacentral:lncRNA from 1 species
CAUUUGCAUAAAUUCGACCAAAGAAAAAGAUCUUUUGAAUAAUAUUACAUUUUUCAAUCUAUCAGUGUAAACUACAACUAUUGGGAAGUAAAAUCUUCAAAUUUUAUUUGCUUCCUGUUCCAACCGAAGUACUCAGUUGCAAGUCAAUUAUCCUUGUUUCAAAUCUGUAAAAGAAAAUUGGACCCUAUAGUUAUGUAAUUAAAUAUACACAAAUAUGAUCUCGGAAUAUGGAAGAAAAGACUUCAACUUACAAAAGUUGAAGGCCAAGCAAUUAAGUAUCCUGAAGAGAAAGCUUCACCAAUUGUCCUGCAACCAGAAACUUCCCUUACUAACUCCUCAUUAUCAAGAAUAGGUUCAUCUAUCCGCACAUGGAUAAAUUUAGAAACUAACUCAAUACCACCAGCCUUAGUAGCUGGAUCAAUAGUCAGAAAAGUACCAUACAACGUUUUGCUUGUUGGGAUAUGAUGAAGUCUUUAAAACUACUUUAAAAGCUAUGAUCAUUAUUAGCAUUCAACAGCAAUAAUAAUAUAAUUUGCAUGAACAAUAUGAUCUCUAUUUUAAUGGCAUCCUAAAGUAAAUGACCCCAUAAAAACUAAAUAAACUGGACUAGCCAUCAAAGUCUAAUGCCCAAGGACAACUCACUUGCUCACGCUUGGUUGAAGUUAUCCUUUACUUGUAGAUUUGUAACAGAAGUCAGUUUUCAAGGAGGCAUGUUAGAUUGGUUUGGGUCGGGAAUUUGAGUACAGUAAACCCAUGCCCCUUGCCGGAUCUUUACCUUGAUUGAAGAAGUACGCCUUUUUUUAGCGAACUGGAUGUGGGCGUUCAGUUCUAGUCCCCUGCUUGUCUAGUCUUGAAAAAUAUUCAACUGC